AUGUCAGCAGUCCUCCCUGUUGUGAUAGAUUGCAUAGGAUGCUGCUUCCGGAUCCAAAGGAACAAUCGACAGACGUCACAAAGAUCCACCUCUGGCUGCAUCAGAAAAUUAUGCUCCUGGCGCCACCAGCGAGUGCACCCCGCUAAUGGGUCGGGGACAGAAGAAACCCCGGGCUCCCAUGAAAGGCUGCCCAGCACCGCAGGAGGAAUAGAGGCUCCAAGUGGCUGCACAAUGCCGGCCGAUGACGCAACUAAUAAUAAUGGCAUGGCUUUGGAGCGCCCCACUCCAGUGACAAACAAUCGGGGUGAAGAAGAAGAAGAUUGCAUAGGAUGCUGCUUCCGGAUCCAAAGGAACAAUCGACAGACGUCACAAAGAUCCACCUCUGGCUGCAUCAGAAAGUUAUGCUCCUGGCGCCACCAGCGAGUGCACCCGCUAAUGGGUCGGGACAGGUACGUGGAGAUUUUCUCCUUCGGUGCAUGCAAGAAUAAUUUUUCUUUAGGGUCCCCUGUAUACGAAUGAACUCGGAAGUAUUUUGUGGUAUCCUUUGUGCGUGCGUGCGUGCGUGCGUGCGUGCGUGUCCAAGUUGAAACAUACUUAGUCAGGUGGUAGUGUUUAUAUACCUGUGGAAAUAAAACGACUUUGAAAUCUCA
rnacentral:lncRNA from 1 species